ACUCCUACGGGAGGCAGCAGUGAGGAAUCUUCCACAAUGGACGAAAGUCUGAUGGAGCGACACCGCGUGAAGGAUGAAGGCCUAACGGUUGUAAACUUCUUUUCUGAAGGAGCAUAAUGAGAGUACUUCAGGAAUAAGGGACGGCUAAUUACGUGCCAGCAGCCGCGGUAAUACGUAAGUCCCGAGUGUUACCCGGAAUCAUUGGGUGUAAAGGGUUCGUAGGCGGAAAGAUAAGUUGGAUAUUAAAGACCGAGGCUCAACCUCGUGUUUGUGUUCAAAACUAUCUAUCUAGAAUUAGGGAGAGGUAAGCGGAAUUCUAAGUGUAGGAGUGCAAUCCGUAGAUACUUAGAGGAACACCAAAAGCGAAGGCAGCUUACUGGAACUAUAUUGACGCUGAUGAACGAAAGCGUGGGUAGCGAAAAGGAUUAGAUACCCUUGUAGUCCACGCCCUAAACGAUGAUAACUAAGUGUUGGGACUAGAUCUCAGUGCUGAAGCUAACGCAUUAAGUUAUCCACCUGAGGAGUACGGUCGCAAGAUUAAAACUCAAAGGAAUAGACGGGGACCCACACAAGCAGUGGAUCACGUGGUUUAAUUCGAUAAUAAACGGGGAACCUUACCCAGACUUGACAUCCUAGGAAUCCUUUAGAGAUAGAGGAGUGCUUUUAUUAGAACCUAGUGACAGGUGCUGCAUGGUUGUCGUCAGCUCGUGCCUUGAGGUGUUCGGUUAAGUCCGUUAACGAGCGCAACCCAUGUCUUUAGUUAUUAUGUCUAAAGAGACUGCCUUGGUUAACAAGGAGGAAGGUGUGGAUGACGUCAAAUCAGCAUGGCUUUUACGUCUGGGGCUACACACAUGAUACAAUGGUAUGUACAAAGGGCAGCAACAGGGUAACCUUGAGCUAAUCCUAAAAGCAUAUCUUAG
rnacentral:rRNA from 1 species